rnacentral:ncRNA from 1 species
UGUCUUCGGGGCGGGGCGAAAUUCCCCACCGGCGGUAUAGUCCGCGAGCGAGCCUUUCCGAGGUGAGCAGGAACCGGUGCAAUUCCGGUACCGACAGUAUAGUCUGGAUGAGAGAAGGCG